rnacentral:rRNA from 1 species
AACGAACGCGUGGCGGCGUGGCUAAGGCAUGCAAGUCGAACGGAUCUAUCCAACGGGUAACUGAAGGGUAGAUUAGUGGCGAACGGGUGAGGAAGUACAUGGACAACGUACCCUGGACACGGGGAUAGCGGCGGGCCGCAAGGCUCUUUAGCGAAAGUGCCGGUAAUACCCGAUGAUCCCGCAUGGUCGCAUGAUCGUGUGGGCAAAGCUCCGACGGUCUGGGAUCGGCAUGCCCUAUCAGCUAGUUGGUGAGGUAACGGCUCACCAAGGCGGCGACGGGUACCGGGNGUGAGAGCGUGACCCGGCACAUC